CUUCCGCGGCCCGGGCCGCAGACCGCAGUCCGCAGAGGACUCGGGCGAUCAUGUACCGGCGCUUGGGUGCGGGCUUGGCCCUAGGCCUCCUGCGGGUGGCGGGGCGGCGGGGUCGGAGCCGCUCGGCGCGCCUGCUGCCGGGUCCGGCGGGAGGCCGAGCGCCCGUGGCGGUCGUGCCGCCGUGCCGAGAGGCGCCGCGCGGCCUGGGCCCGGGCCUGCUGCCGCUGCUGGCAGCGCUCGCCUGGUCCUCGAGGCCCGCCCCGGCGGAGCAGGAGCGGGAGCGGCAGGGCGCGGGCGGGGCCGCGGCCGGGGACGCCGAGGCCGAGAUCAUCCAGCUGCUGAAGCGAGCCAAGUUGUGCAUCAUGAAAGAUGAGCCAGCAGAGGCAGAGCUAAUUCUGCAUGAUGCUCUUCGUCUUGCCUAUAAGAGUGAUAACAAGAAGGCCAUCACUUACACUUACGAUUUGAUGGCCAACUUAGCAUUUAUACGGGGUCAGCUUGAAAAUGCGGAAAAACUUUUUAAAGCAACAAUGAGUCACCUGCUUGGAGGGGGCAUGCAACAGGAAGACAAUGCAAUAAUAGAAAUCUCUCUAAAGCUGGCCACUAUUUAUGCUGCUCAGAAUAGGCAGGAAUUGGCUCUUGCUGGUUAUGAAUUCUGCAUUUCAACUCUAGAGGAAAAAAUUGAAAGAGAAAAGGAAUUAUCAGAAGACACUUUGUCAGUGGAAGAGAAAGCCAACACCCACCUCCUCUUGGGCAUGUGCCUAGACAGCUAUGCCCGCUACCUUCUGUUCUCCAAGCAGCCAUCACAGGCACAAAGGAUGUAUGAAAAAGCUUUGCAGAUUUCUGAAGAAAUACUAGGAGAAAGACACCCACAGACCAUCGUGCUGCUGAGCGACCUGGCCGCCAGCCUGGACGCGCAGGGCCGCUCGGACGAGGCCUGUGUUCACGCGCAGAGGGCCUCGGACCUGGCGAGGCAGGGGGAGCACCCCGAGCUCCACGUGCUGCUCCGUAACCUGGCUGUGGUGCUGCUGCACGGAGAGCGAUACGCACAAGCAGAAGAGGUCUACCGGGAAGCGCUGAAGCGAGCAAAGCUGAAGAGAGAUGAGGUCUCUGUGCAGCACAUCAGGGAGGAGCUGGCCGAGCUGUCACGGAAAAGCAGACCUGUGUCGUAACCUUCCCAAGCUCUAGACCCCUCUUUCUUUGUUGUGGGGAAUUUACAGUAACAAACACCUCUCAUUCCUGUCCCAGUGGCACCCUAAUCAAUGGCUUAAAUCCUUUGUCCUUGAUACUCAAGUCCCCUCCACUGAGCCUUGCUGGGGGACAAGCUGUACACGCUGUGUACACUGCUGCGUUUGCUUUGCGAAGAAAACUUGCCCCCCCCACCUGACUGAUUUUGCUUCUGCGGACGGGUGUCGGUUAAUGCUUUCCGUUGCAGCAGACGGCUGGCUGGUGAGGUGCUGUCCAUGUUGGUCCGAGAAUAACUCUAGGUUGAGAGGGGCCAGUUUCCCUCUGGGGUGGGGUCUGCUAUUUCAGCCAGGCAUCUCUCCCAUAAGAUUUUUGUCCACUGAUUGAUUUGCUGCCUUCUCUUAUCAAUACCUGGCAGACCAGAGCUACCGGUCUCAUGGCAAAGGGGGAUGACGGUUUCACUGGGAAUUUCUGAGCCUCCUCGGUGGCGCGGCGCCCGGUCCCGGAACGCCCGCGGGAUUUUUCCAGAAAGCUCCUGUGCACGCGCUGCGGUCACUACAGGUCACUGCACUGAGGCAGCAAAACGAGGAGGACUGGCCUGCCACUGACGGGGCUGAAUCCAAAGGUGAACCGUUCGCAGUAGCACGAAAACUUGAACUAUCUCACUGGAGCUUUCAGGGCGUGGAUAGUUGAAGAUAGAAUCACCCAGCACACCCACGUUCAAGCACGACGCAUCUUCUCCUCAUGAACACACGGUGGACACCGGCUGGCUGUCACAGUUCUGUGAACCGUAACUUCGUUCUGGGGGCUAAAAGAAAGCCACUUGCCAGGCUGUAGCUUCAGAACCCUGGGGUCUCAGCCCGCAGCAUCCCACCUCGGUUCACAGCUGACUUGGCCAGGUCACGUCACGCCGGGGUGGGCCUCCACCUCCCACGCGGUCUGCCCCCUCCGCAGGCCUGCACUCCGUCCUGCCCUUGUUCUGAACCGAGGCGGGACCGUGGGUUUUGUCUCCCGUUGCGGGAUCUCUUCUCCAGGUGGCGGCAGGUGAAGUAAAACAACUUGCACUGUGAUGAGGAGGGGUGAGUGGUCAACAGCCGCUCCCUUUGGGUCCUGAGUGGAGCUGCACAGGUGACGCACAGGGCUCUGAUCUGACGUGUUCUCAAGAACUAGUCAUAGAAAAAUACCAGCAUCAUCUCUUUGGGACUGUUGACAAAUAAUUAAAAUCUAAAAUAUUACUAGUACCUAAACAAAAUUUUAAGCAAAAACCUUAAGUUACUGUUUUUCAUUCACAUUAAAACUUUUUAUGUAUUUAUAAA